GAUGAACGCUGGCUACAGGCUUAACACAUGCAAGUCGAGGGGAAACGGCAUUGGGUGCUUGCACCGAAUGGACGUCGACCGGCGCACGGGUGAGUAACGCGUAUCCAACCUUCCCGUUACUGCGGGAUAACCUGCCGAAAGGCAGACUAAUACCGCAUGUUCUUCGAUGACGGCAUCAGAUUCGAAGCAAAGAUCCGUCGGUAACGGAGGGGGAUGCGUCUGAUUAGCUAGUUGGCGGGGCGACGGCCCACCAAGGCGACGAUCAGUAGGGGUUCUGAGAGGAAGGUCCCCCACAUUGGAACUGAGACACGGUCCAAACUCCUACGGGAGGCAGCAGUGAGGAAUAUUGGUCAAUGGGCGGAAGCCUGAACCAGCCAAGUAGCGUGCAGGAUGACGGCCCUACGGGUUGUAAACUGCUUUUAUGUGGGGAUAAAGUGAGGGACGCGUCCCUUUUUGCAGUACCGCAUGAUAGGACCG
rnacentral:rRNA from 1 species